GAUUUCUGAUUGCGAAUACCCGACCCGCCAUCUUUCCGGUGGUUGGUGUUGGUGUGUUCCGAUCAUCCUUCUAGAGAUCAGUAUUGGCUCUUCACUGGGUUGAUAUUGGGAUCUAGAUCGUUUACUUUGAAAAAAUUAGAGUGUUUAAAGCAGGCUUUUGCUAUGAAUACAUUAGCAUGGAAUAAUAAAAUAGGACUUUGUGCCUACUUUGUUGGUUUUUAGGUAUAAAGUAAUGAUUGAUAGGGAUAGUUGGGGGUGCUCAUAUUCAACGGCCAGAGGUGAAAUUCUUGGAUUCGUUGAAGAUGAACUAAUGCGAAAGCAUU
rnacentral:rRNA from 1 species